rnacentral:rRNA from 1 species
CCUACUCUUGACAUCCAGAGAACUUAGCAGAGAUGCUUUGGUGCCUUCGGGAACUCUGAGACAGGUGCUGCAUGGCUGUCGUCAGCUCGUGUUGUGAAAUGUUGGGUUAAGUCCCGCAACGAGCGCAACCCUUAUCCUUUGUUGCCAGCGGUUCGCCGGGAACUCAAAGGAGACUGCCAGUGAUAAACUGGAGGAAGGUGGGGAUGACGUCAAGUCAUCAUGGCCCUUACGAGUAGGGCUACACACGUGCUACAAUGGCGCAUACAAAGAGAAGCGACCUCGCGAGAGCAAGCGGACCUCAUAAAGUGCGUCGUAGUCCGGAUUGGAGUCUGCAACUCGACUCCAUGAAGUCGGAAUCGCUAGUAAUCGUGGAUCAGAAUGCCACGGUGAAUACGUUCCCGGGCCUUGU